CGUGCCAGCAGCCGCGGUAAUACGGAGGGUGCGAGCGUUAAUCGGAAUUACUGGGCGUAAAGCGCGCGUAGGUGGUUUGAUAAGCGAGAUGUGAAAGCCCCGGGCUUAACCUGGGAACGGCAUUUCGAACUGUCAGGCUAGAGUAUGGUAGAGGGUAGUGGAAUUUCCUGUGUAGCGGUGAAAUGCGUAGAUAUAGGAAGGAACACCAGUGGCGAAGGCGGCUACCUGGACCAAUACUGACACUGAGGUGCGAAAGCGUGGGGAGCAAACAGGA
rnacentral:rRNA from 1 species